UUUUAACAAAUGGGUAACUGCUCCCGCGGCAGCGAGAGCGUGAGAGAGAGCUCGGCAGGAAAUAGCUGAACAAGUCAAUGCGAACAACCCGAGUUGCCCCAAGAGGACUUGGCAGCAAAUGAAGAUGAAGUACAAAAAUAUAGUUCAAACAGCAAAUCGAAAAAAAGCAGAGCCCCGGCAGACUGGAGGGGGUCCACCUCUGCAGCCCUCACAGAGGCUGAGGAGAUGGCCCUCAGCUAACAGAGUAUGUGUCCUGUGGCUGAGGGCAUCCCUGGGGGGAGCUCCUCUGAUCCCCCCCACCCCCCCGGAUAGAAGUGCCUUUAUAAGAGGUUGGUUAUUCAAAAUAAUUAAAUAUGUACACGCAACCCAGCGCGUUGCAAAUUAGAUGGGGCAAUAUUCUGGCUCAAGUAAUAAUUUCACUGUCUAAUCAUCUUCUUCCAGUUACUGAUGGCGUCAUCGCCCCACUUGAACCAGAUGCCCUCACCAACCUCCAUGCAAUUGUAACAAUUCUUCACCUUCCACAGAUUAUUAAUAAUGUCUUGGUAAUUGCUGAACACAACCGUUAAUGUCAU